UACGAAGGGGGCUAGCGUUGCUCGGAAUUACUGGGCGUAAAGGGAGCGUAGGCGGAUAUUUAAGUCGGGGGUGAAAGCCCAGGGUUCAACCCUGGAACUGCCUUCGAUACUGGAUAUCUAGAGUAUGGGAGAGGUGUGUGGAACUCCGAGUGUAGAGGUGAAAUUCGUAGAUAUUCGGAAGAACACCAGUGGCGAAGGCGACACACUGGCCCAUUACUGACGCUGAGGCUCGAAAGCGUGGGGAGCAAACAGG
rnacentral:rRNA from 1 species